rnacentral:rRNA from 1 species
AUUGAACGCUGGCGGCAGGCCUAACACAUGCAAGUCGAACGGUAACAGGAAGAAGCUUGCUUCUUUGCUGACGAGUGGCGGACGGGUGAGUAAUGUCUGGGAAACUGCCUGAUGGAGGGGGAUAACUACUGGAAACGGUAGCUAAUACCGCAUAACGUCGCAAGACCAAAGAGGGGGACCCUCGGGCCUCUUGCCAUCGGAUGUGCCCAGAUGGGAUUAGCUAGUAGGUGGGGUAACGGCUCACCUAGGCGACGAUCCCUAGCUGGUCUGAGAGGAUGACCAGCCACACUGGAACUGAGACACGGUCCAGACUCCUACGGGAGGCAGCAGUGGGGAAUAUUGCACAAUGGGCGCAAGCCUGAUGCAGCCAUGCCGCGUGUAUGAAGAAGGCCUUCGGGUUGUAAAGUACUUUCAGCGGGGAGGAAGGGAGUAAAGUUAAUACCUUUGCUCAUUGACGUUACCCGCAGAAGAAGCACCGGCUAACUCCGUG